rnacentral:tRNA from 1 species
GAGAGUAUAGCUCAGUGGUAGAGUGUGUGCUUAGCAUGCACGAGGUCCUAGGUUCAAUCCCCAGUACUUCCA